rnacentral:pre_miRNA from 1 species
AUUAUAACUCUCCGUUUCAAUUUAUGUGAACUUAUUUCCUUUUUAGUCCGUGCCAAAAAAAAUGAUAUCUUUCCUUAUUUGGAAACAAUUUAACUUUAUGCAACGAUUUAUAGUCACACAAAAUAUAUGUGCCUCAUUUUAUACCACAAGUUCAAAAAUCUUCUCUCUUUUUUUAAACUUCGUGCCCAGUCAAAUAGGUUCACAUAAAUUGAAACGGAGGAGUAGGAAUU